UACAGAGGGUGCAAGCGUUGUUCGGAAUUACUGGGCGUAAAGCGCGUGUAGGCGGCGGCGUUAGUCGGAUGUGAAAUCCCUCAGCUCAACUGAGGAAGUGCAUUCGAUACUGCGUCGCUUGAAUGUCGGAGGGGAUGGCGGAAUUCCCGGUGUAGAGGUGAAAUUCGUAGAUAUCGGGAGGAACACCUGUGGCGAAGGCGGCCAUCUGGACGACGAUUGACGCUGAGACGCGAAAGCGUGGGAUAGCAAAC
rnacentral:rRNA from 1 species